CGAAAGCCCAGAAGUAGCAUGCUCCAUGCUUCAUGCUUCAUGCUUCAUGCUACUACACCCCACUAAGGCACCAAAUUAGCCUUCUAUUCUUUAGCUGGUCUGCUUCAUGCUGAUUUUCCAUAGCAUAAAUUGCCUUAUUUCUUCCUCCUUUUAAUGGAAUAAUCAUUCUGCCCUUAUUCCCCACUUUAACAGUGUUUCAUUAGUUUGUUUAACCUAAUAUUUAUUUUGCGAAAUACCAAUUCCUCUUUGUUAAAGGGAAUUUUUGAAUUUUUCGAAAGAAGUUUUUGAAGAUCGGUAUUGAAUAGAAUUGAGAGACAAAAUUCUUAUUAGUAUUCAAUACCGGUUUUUAUUAAAAAUUAAGUCGACUAUUUAAUAGACGACACCUUAAAAACUUCUUUCGAGAGAGCUUCAAUUCCCUAACACUUUCUCUAUUCCUUAAAAAGCUGUGAUAGUCAUUUCAAUUCCACCCUCAACAGUAAUACACCAAAAACAUGACCAUGUCUACGUCUUUCGACCAAUCUUUUGAUGUCAUCCGCCUCAGCAAACAAAACGGUGAUUAGUUCGCCGGUGACAAAAAAUCAACAAAAAUAAGAAUUCUCCCAAAAUUCCCUCUGGUUUUUGGUGAGAAGGAAGAACUAAAGAUGGGGAACAACAAACUAAAGAUAUCAAUAGGUUUAAAGCUACCAUCACAGGACUUCUGGGGGUUUGUUCGAAGGCUUUAGGCUUAGAUUUAAGCUAUUAGGGUUUGUUAGAGGGAAAAAAGAAGGCAAAGAUCAAGUUAUGGUAAAUAUUUAAUAUCUAAAAUAUUGUAUUAUUUAUAUUCAUUUAAUGUAUUUUUAUUUAUGAAUAUAUCUUAAGAUAGUAUAAAAUCUUAUAAAUAUUAAAAAAUAAUAAAUUUAAUACUAAGUUCUUAUGAAUUACUA
rnacentral:lncRNA from 1 species